GGGCGAGGUCUCUGGUUCAAGUCCAGGAUAGCCC
rnacentral:tRNA from 1 species